GGAGUUAGCCGGUGCUUCUUCUGUGAGUGAUGUCCUUCCUGCCGGCUAUUAACCCGCAGGCCUUCUUCCUCACUGAAAGUGCUUUACAACCCGAAGGCCUUCUUCACACACGCGGCAUGGCUGGAUCAGGGUUGCCCCCAUUGUCCAAUAUUCCCCACUGCUGCCUCCCGUAGGAGUCUGGGCCGUGUCUCAGUCCCAGUGUGGCUGAUCAUCCUCUCAGACCAGCUACGGAUCGUCGCCUUGGUGAGCCGUUACCUCACCAACCAGCUAAUCCGACAUAGGCUCAUCCGAUAGCGCGAGGCCCGAAGGUCCCCCGCUUUCCCCCGUAGGGCGUAUGCGGUAUUAGCCUGGGUUUCCCCAGGUUAUCCCCCACUACCGGGCAGAUUCCUAUGCAUUACUCACCCGUCCGCCGCUCGCCACCAGGGAGCAAGCUCCCCGUGCUGCCGCUCGACUUGCAUGUGUAGUCGUCGCCGCCACGCGUCAUACUGAGCACAAUACAACUACUGA
rnacentral:rRNA from 1 species